AGGACGAACGCUGGCGGCGCGCUUAACACAUGCAAGUCGAACGUGAAGCUGGAGCUUGCUCCGGUGGAAAGUGGCGAACGGGUGCGUAACACGUGAGCAACCUGCCCCGAAGACUGGGAUAACACCGGGAAACCGGUGCUAAUACCGGAUACCUUCUUCCGAUCGCAUGGUUGGAUGAAGAAAUGGAUUCCGCUUCGGGAUGGGCUCGCGGCCUAUCAGCUUGUUGGUGAGGUAACGGCCCACCAAGGCGACGACGGGUAGCUGGUCUGAGAGGACGACCAGCCACACUGGGACUGAGACACGGCCCAGACUCCUACGGGAGGCAGCAGUGGGGAAUCUUGCUCAAUGGGCGAAAGCCUGAAGCAGCGACGCCGCGUGAGGGAUGAAGGCCCGUCGGGUUGUAAACCGCUUUCAGCAGGGACGAAUUGACGGUACCUGCAGAAGAAGGCCCGGCCAACUACGUGCCAGCAGCCGCGGUAA
rnacentral:rRNA from 1 species